rnacentral:rRNA from 1 species
GACGUAGGGCGCGAGCGUUGUCCGGAUUUAUUGGGCGUAAAGAGCUCGUAGGCGGCUUGUCGCGUCGACUGUGAAAACCCGCGGCUCAACUGCGGGCCUGCAGCCGAUACGGGCAGGCUAGAGUUCGGUAGGGGAGACUGGAAUUCCUGGUGUAGCGGUGAAAUGCGCAGAUAUCAGGAGGAACACCUAUGGCGAAGGCAGCUCUCUGGGACGGUACUGACGCUGAGACGCGAAAGCGUGGGGAGCGAACAGG